AACGCGUAUGCAACUUGCCCUGCACAGGAGGAUAACCCGUCGAAAGACGGACUAAUACUGCGUACACUCACUUGGAGGCAUCUUUUAGUGAGGAAAGAAAUUCGGUGUAGGAUAGGCAUGCGUCCCAUUAGCUAGUUGGUGAGGUAACGGCUCACCAAGGCAACGAUGGGUAGGGGAACUGAGAGGUUUAUCCCCCACACUGGUACUGAGACACGGACCAGACUCCUACGGGAGGCAGCAGUGAGGAAUAUUGGUCAAUGGGCGGGAGCCUGAACCAGCCAAGUCGCGUGAAGGAUGACUGUCUUAUGGAUUGUAAACUUCUUUUGUAUGGGAAUAAAGGUAGGGACGUGUCCUUAAUUGAAUGUACCAUACGAAUAAGCAUCGGCUAACUCCGUGCCAGCAGCCGCGGUAAUACGGAGGAUGCGAGCGUUAUCCGGAUUUAUUGGGUUUAAAGGGUGCGUAGGCGGUUUGUUAAGUCAGCGGUGAAAUCUUGGGGCUCAACCCCGAAACUGCCGUUGAAACUGGCGAACUUGAGUGUAGAUGAGGUAGGCGGAAUUCGUGGUGUAGCGGUGAAAUGCAUAGAUAUCACG
rnacentral:rRNA from 1 species